rnacentral:rRNA from 1 species
UGUUCGGAAUUACUGGGCGUAAAGGGCUCGUAGGUGGCCAACUAAGUCAGACGUGAAAUCCCUCGGCUUAACCGGGGAACUGCGUCCGAUACCGGCAGGCUUGAAUCCGGGAGAGGGAUGCGGAAUUCCAGGUGUAGCGGUGAAAUGCGUAGAUAUCUGGAGGAACACCGGUGGCGAAGGCGGCAUCCUGGACCGGCAUUAACGCUGAGGCGCGAAAGCCAGGGGAGCAAACGGG